UACGAAGGGGGCUAGCGUUGCUCGGAAUCACUGGGCGUAAAGGGUGCGUAGGCGGGUCUUUAAGUCAGGGGUGAAAUCCUGGAGCUCAACUCCAGAACUGCCUUUGAUACUGGCGAUCUCGAGUCCGGGAGAGGUGAGUGGAACUGCGAGUGUAGAGGUGAAAUUCGUAGAUAUUCGCAAGAACACCAGUGGCGAAGGCGGCUCACUGGCCCGGUACUCGACGCUGAGGUGCGAAAGCGUGGGGAGCAACAGG
rnacentral:rRNA from 1 species